GAGUUUGAUCCUGGCUCAGGAUGAACGCUGGCGGCGUGCUUAACACAUGCAAGUCGAACGGAGGAUGUACGGUGAAGAGAUUUCGGUCAAAUCAUGUGCAUCUUUAGUGGCGGACGGGUGAGUAACGCGUGGGUAACCUGCCUUACACAGGGGGAUAACACUUAGAAAUAGGUGCUAAUACCGCAUGAGCGCACAGGACCGCAUGGUCGAGUGUGAAAAACUGAGGUGGUGUAAGAUGGACCCGCGUCUGAUUAGCUAGUUGGUGAGGUAACGGCCCACCAAGGCGACGAUCAGUAGCCGGCCUGAGAGGGUGGACGGCCACAUUGGGACUGAGACACGGCCCAAACUCCUACGGGAGGCAGCAGUGGGGGAUAUUGGACAAUGGGGGGAACCCUGAUCCAGCGACGCCGCGUGAGUGAAGAAGUAUCUCGGUAUGUAAAGCUCUAUCAGCAGGGAAGAAGAAAUGACGGUACCUGAGUAAGAAGCCCCGGCUAACUACGUGCCAGCAGCCGCGGUAAUACGUAGGGGGCAAGCGUUAUCCGGAAUUACUGGGUGUAAAGGGAGCGUAGACGGUGAUGUAAGUCUGGAGUGAAAGGCGGGGGCCCAACCCUCGGACUGCUCUGGAAACUAUGUGACUGGAGUGCAGGAGAGGUGAGCGGAAUUCCUAGUGUAGCGGUGAAAUG
rnacentral:rRNA from 1 species